CCCUUAGAUGUUCUGGGCCGCACGCGCGCUACACUGACGGAGGCAGCGAGCAUGUCCUUCGCCGAGAGGUGUGGGGAAUCUUGUGAGUCUCCGUCGUGCUGGGGAUAGAUGGUUGCAAUUGUCGAUCUUGAACGAGGAAUUCCUAGUAAACGCGAGUCAUCAGCUCGCAUUGAUUACGUCCCUGCCCUUUGUACACACCGCCCGUCGCACCUACCGAUUGAAUGGUUCGGUGAAGAUCUCGGACUUCGAUAUUUAUUCUUUAUUGAGUUUAUAUUGUGGGAAGUUAUCUAAACCUCAUCAUUUAGAGGAAGGUGAAGUCGUAACA
rnacentral:rRNA from 1 species